ensembl:lncRNA
CUAAGCACUCAUUGGCUGUGCCCUUUCAGGGCACAAUUGCAUCCAGGAGUUGAUGGAACAAAUGCAGAUGUUGGGAAAGGGACGGCAGGAGCCUGUUCCUAAUGAGGAGUCUACGUGAGUCCAGCAGUACUGGACUAAUGCCGCUCACGUUGGUGCGUUCGGCCCUGGGUUGGCUCUUAUCACCGAAGAGCUAGAGUAUUAAAAGCAAAGUGAAUGUAUUUCUUUUUAUGUGAAUUUGUUUUUAGAACUGUUUUUAAUACUACCGCCUGGAGUAUAUGAAGUGUGUUUUUCUUUGAAAGCGUGUCAAAAUGACAGUAUGGUGGAUAUACAGAGAGACAGGGGGAUUGAAUUGGUUAUUUUCUUCAGUGCAUGUGGGUGUAGUGCUCAGUACAGUAUCAGAUGCUGUGUGCCACUAUCGUAUCGGAAUCAAUUAGAAUGUGUUCCCUCCAGGUGAGCACUGUUUCAUCACUACAUAGCAUAAAUACAGACCUCGCAGAGAGCAAAACAUAUGGUACCGCGCUAAUUUGCUUCCCAAAGAGCAUAUUUACCGACCAAUUUCCAAACCUGUUCUCGUCUUGAUUUGCCUCUGAGUAUACGGCGGGCUCAUUAUGGCACACUCCAACGUGAACGUACAUGAAUGCAGUAGCUUGGAGAAUAUAGGAAAUGUGUUUUUAAAAGUCAGGCGUGGCGUCUCGACCAUUUCCCUGUUAUGGAGCCCGGGCCUCGGGAGGCAGGGCGGGAGAAAGGCACAGAGGCAGCGCUGCCUUUGUUAAUUAAACCUGUCAAUCAAAGAUGUCCUUUUUGUUUUUUCUACAUUUAGUUUCUAUUUUGAUUUGUUGAGAAGUUGUAUGUUAUUUUCUACCUCCCCUGCCUCCCUUUGGAUCUGUGAGGUGUCACUCUCUGAUCAAAGCAGUGAUGGGGGCCCAGAACCCUCCACUCUUCAGUUUCCCUCUCAUGUCUGUAAACGGCUUGUGCAAACCUUUGUUGUGCUGAGUUUUUUUUAUUAUGUUUUUUUUUUGUUGCCUGCAAGUAUCUCUACUCUAAUUGUUUUCUUGUCAUGUCUUAUUUAUUUCUCUUUCUCUCUCUGCUCUCUGGCUGCAAGUCUCUCUGCUUAUUCCUCAUCAUUACACGUUCACAUGAAGACGUGUUUCCUGGUUGCAGACACUCCCUGUUGAUCGAGCUGAGAGAUGUUUUCUUCUCCAGACAUCAGAGCUGACAUCACACCACAAAGAAUAAUUUAGACGUAAUUGGAUUCAACUUUACUUUUUUCCUAUGCACAAUUUCAGCGUGAAAUAAAUAAUGGAGAGCAAUAACACGUGG